CUCGGGAGAGCCUCUCGUGUGUUGCUGCGGUGUAGCCCCGAGUGGGAAUGGAGGACGGAUACCGACGUGUGGAUGGACCCACGUGGACUCGCACCGCACCACCAUCCUGCUUCUAGACCAGCCACCAUACAGUUCUCUCCCAAACCGACUGGAAUCAUCCUGACCACACAUGCUAUCUCCUCCUCAGCACUAUUUAGCUCCCCUUGAUUUAUGGUCUUCCACCAUUAGAGUGUAAGACAAACAUUGUCUUGUUUGCUCAUAUUUGUAUCCCAAGGACUUGGCACAGAGCCUGGCCCAUAAUAAUAAAUGCUUUGUUAUUCA